rnacentral:rRNA from 1 species
UACGGGGGGGGCAAGCGUUGUUCGGAAUUACUGGGCGUAAAGGGCUCGUAGGCGGCCAACUAAGUCCGACGUGAAAUCCCCAGGCUUAACCUGGGAACUGCGUCGGAUACUGGAUGGCUUGAAUCCGGGAGAGGGAUGCGGAAUUCCAGGUGUAGCGGUGAAAUGCGUAGAUAUCAGGAGGAACACCAAUGGCGAAGGCAGCUCGCUGGGACGUGAACUGACGCUGAGACGCGAAAGCGUGGGGAGCAAACAGG